ensembl:snRNA U6 U6 spliceosomal RNA
GUGCUCGCUUCGGCAGCACAUAUACUAAAAUUGGAACGAUACAGAGAAGAUUAGCAUGCCCCCUGCGCAAGGCUGAUGUUUUAUAAACAAGAAAAUCUAUCAAUUAUC